CCUACGGGUGGCAGCAGUGGGGAAUAUUGCACAAUGGGGGAAACCCUGAUGCAGCGACGCCGCGUGAGUGAGGACGGAUCUCUGGAUGGUAAGCUCUAUCAGCAGGGAAGAAAAUGACGGUACCUGACUAAGAAGCCCCGGCUAACUACGUGCCGGCAGCCGCGGUAAUACGGAGGAUGCGAGCGUUAUCCGGAUUUAUGGGGUUUAAAGGGUGCGUAGGCGGAAUGCCAAGUCAGCGGUAAAAUCGCGGGGCUCAACCUCGCUCCGCCGUUGAAACUGGCGUUCUUGAGUGGGCGAGAAGUAUGCGGAAUGCGUGGUGUAGCGGUGAAAUGCAUAGAUAUCACGCAGAACUCCGAUUGCGAAGGCAGCAUACCGGCGCCCAACUGACGCUGAAGCACGAAAGCGUGGGUAUCGAACAGGAUUAGAUACCCUUGUAGUG
rnacentral:rRNA from 1 species